CACUCUUUGUUUUCUUCACCAUAAUAAUCUUGCAUGAGUAUGUGAUGUGCUCUGCCAUAUCAUUCCAACAAGAUCUUGGGCGGCUGAAAAGAAGCCCAUCUCCAUCAAGAAGAUUACUUGCUGCAGAAACUUCAUUUCCUGUAAAUGAUCUCAACAAGGUGAGAGCUGGUUUUAAGGAAACUGUGACGUCAGCAGAAGCCAGCUUACGGAAGCGGCCGCCUAGCUCUUCAAACCCUACUCAAAAUUAGUUUGUCUUCAUAGCCCUUGUUUAAAGAUGACAGAUGAUGAAGAAAGAACUGAUCAAGUUGCUUUAUUUUAGUUUUGUUCCUUGUUUCUUAUACAUAUUUUUUGUUAUUGUGAAACACAAUAGUUUGACUUGUGAAGUGUACAGAUGUUAUUUCUGUCAUAGCCAAAGAGUAGAAGCUCAGGUGAAGCUCCCUGGUUAAAAGAUCACCCUUCUUACCAUAUUUUAAGCUUUGUAAUUCAGUAUGCUACACUUCUGUGAGCACCAUUACCAUUACAUAACACAAGUGAUGGGUUUACCUCUGUUGUGUAGGGUCAUGGGGUUCAACCCUGAUUCACCUACACAAGUAUAUAGAUAUACUCAUUUGUAACGUAUAUAAGCUCAAAUCAUGAAAAAAUAUUAGAAUUUACUUCCUGUUUAUUAAAAUAUCAUUUUUAAAUGAAUUAGGCAGUAAGGAUUUUUCUAGUCCCUCUGCCAAUUUCAUUUCUUAAUUUCGACUCGGUCUGAUUUUUAUUAUUGCUUUUAAUUAAAAAGGUUUCAAAACUAAUGCUUCAUUUAUAAAUGUCAUUUAAAAUUAUUGUGAUGUGGGAAUAAGUGCAUNCCUUGAUGGUUAAAAUGUAUUUAAGCUUUUUGUAAAUGCUGACAUAUGAAUGCUAGUAAAUUGAGAGACCAUGUGUCGGGACUGACACCCCUAAAUUUUCAAAUUACUUAUAUUUUUGUUCGGAAAUCAGGACGGUAAUUUUUUUUUAAAAUUAGGGGGUCUCCUGUGCCCCUUAUUAGAUCCCCUGCUUGGGACUCUGAAAAAUCUAAAUCACGGCAAGAUUUACAUCGCAUAUAGAAGAUGCUGACUAAGCAGCCGUGGAGUUGAUUAAGAAAAACCAAAAGCUGCACAGGAAAAACAUAGGGGCCGUUUAGGCAAAUUUAAAAAAAGUGAUUUCGUGCUUAAAGAGUAAAGAAGUGGAUUAGUAGUGAGAAGUAAAUAAAUUAAUAAAAUAAUUGAAAAAGAAGCAUAAACUCUGAAACUCUAAGAGAGAAGUAGCAUUCUCAGCUUCUGAAAAAUGCUUCUACUAUUUAUUUACAGAAGCCAGAAUCAGCUCCUGCUUCUCGAAUACAAACACGCUCAUAGACUACUUUUUUGUCACCGUGUUGUAGAAGGUAGGAAUUAGUUGUUACACUAUCACCAAAUCUGAGUACACAGCUAUGUUAAGCUGUGCUGGUUCAACUUAUUAGAGAUGCAUGCAUGCUAUAUAAUAUAAUAAAUCUACUUGGUACUCCCUCCGUCCCAAAAAGCUUUUCUCGUUUGAUAUGUCGGGACUGUUCAUAACAUGAGAUAAAUGAUUAAUUUACGUCUAAUCUAUAAGACUAAAUAUAGUCAUGAGUGAUCUUGUUGGUUUCGUAUUUACGAGUACUUUAAUACAGUGAAAUUUUUAUAUUUAAUACUAAUAUAAAAUUAAAGAUAUUAAUGAUCAAAAGUGUGUGUUGGCAAACGUGAAAAGGAGAAACAGGAAAAGUAUUUAGGGACGGAGGGAGUACGUUUUAUUAUACAGGAAAGGACGCAAAAGAAGACUGGCUUAUGUGGCUUCAUGUGAUAACCUCACAUGAGACACGUUCGCUAAUCUCUGAGGAUUGUUUCGAAGUUAGACAAGUAUUAUAAUCAAUCUGGCUAACAUGACAUAAUAAGCUUCUUCCUCGUUCCAACAUGCUACAAACAAGAUUUAAACAAAAUUUUUCAGGAGAACAAAUCUCAUUGUGAAUAAACGCGUUACAUAUGCAGAUAUAUAUGCUGCAUCAUUGAAUUGGGCUGCCACAUGGACCUUUUUACAAAAAUAUACUAGUCGGGUCACACUCAUUUAUAUACAGUUUUUUUUAUUACUCGAUACGUAUUAUAUGAAUUUUAUGAAAUACAAUUCUAUAAUUUAUUUUUAAAUAGAAAAUUAAAUAUUAUAUUUUUAUUUAAAAGAAAAAUAAUUAAAAUAAAUUAUGAAAUUAUAUUUAUAAGAGAUCUUAAAAUAGGUGAUCAACCUACAGUUGUGGUGAGCACGAGUUCAAGUGAUGAGUUUAUCGUCUGUUGUCCUUUUACACUCGAGUUCGACUCUGACUCAGUGCGGAAAAAAAGAGAGGAAAAGACAGAUAUGGUAAUGUUGACUGGAUCACACACUAAACUUUCCACUAUUUUGCCUAGUAUAAUACUCCAUGAAUUUGAUUAAGUGUACAUCUUCACAUGUUUUGUCAGGCUCAAGCACUAGCUACAACUCCUAACCAUGUUUGCAUUUGCUUUAUAAGAGAUUCUCACAUGAAAAGAACCCUCAACUUCUCUCCAGGUCCAUCACACAGCUUCAGAUAUUCACAAAUGAGAAACAGCAUGAGAACACUCUUUGUUUUCUUCACCAUAAUAAUCUUGCAUGAGUAUGUGAUGUGCUCUGCCAUAUCAUUCCAACAAGAUCUUGGGCGGCUGAAAAGAAGCCCAUCUCCAUCAAGAAGAUUACUUGCUGCAGAAACUUCAUUUCCUGUAAAUGAUCUCAACAAGGUGAGAGCUGGUUUUAAGGAAACUGUGACGUCAGCAGAAGCCAGCUUACGGAAGCGGCCGCCUAGCUCUUCAAACCCUACUCAAAAUUAGUUUGUCUUCAUAGCCCUUGUU
rnacentral:lncRNA from 1 species